rnacentral:rRNA from 1 species
CCUACGGGAGGCAGCAGUGAGGAAUAUUGGUCAAUGGACGAGAGUCUGAACCAGCCAAGUAGCGUGAAGGAUGACGGCCCUAUGGGUUGUAAACUUCUUUUAUAAAGGUGUAAAACGAGACACGUGUGCCUUUUUGCAUGUACUUUAUGAAUAAGGAUCGGCUAACUCCGUGCCAGCAGCCGCGGUAAUACGGAGGAUCCGAGCGUUAUCCGGAUUUAUUGGGUUUAAAGGGAGCGUAGAUGGGUUGUUAAGUCAGUUGUGAAAGGUUGCGGCUCAACCUCGAAAUUGCAAUUGAUACUGGCAGGCUAGAGAACAGUUGCGGUAGGCGGAAUGCGUGGUGUAGCGGUGAAAUGCUUAGAUAUCACACAGAACCCCGAUUGCGAAGGCAGCUUACCAAGCUGUGACUGACAUUGAUGCUCGAAAGUGUGGGUAUCAAACAGGAUUAGAUACCCGUGUAGUC